AGUGAACGCUGGCGGUAGGCCUAACACAUGCAAGUCGAACGGCAGCACAGUAAGAGCUUGCUCUUACGGGUGGCGAGUGGCGGACGGGUGAGGAAUACAUCGGAAUCUACUUUUUCGUGGGGGAUAACGUAGGGAAACUUACGCUAGUACCGCAUACGACCUACGGGUGAAAGCAGGGGAUCUUCGGACCUUGCGCGAUUGAAUGAGCCGAUGUCGGAUUAGCUAGUUGGCGGGGUAAAGGCCCACCAAGGCGACGAUCCGUAGCUGGUCUGAGAGGAUGAUCAGCCACACUGGAACUGAGACACGGUCCAGACUCCUACGGGAGGCAGCAGUGGGGAAUAUUGGACAAUGGGCGCAAGCCUGAUCCAGCCAUACCGCGUGGGUGAAGAAGGCCUUCGGGUUGUAAAGCCCUUUUGUUCGGAAAGAAAAGCAGCAGGUUAAUACCCCGCUGUUCUGACGGUACCCAAAGAAUAAGCACCGGCUAACUUCGUG
rnacentral:rRNA from 1 species